ACUGUCUGGUCCUGCCCGCUGGGAGUGUCUCCAUUAGCCAUCACCAUGACACUGUCACUGCUCUGCUCCCUUUUUCUACUCUCUGCCACAUCAGGCAUCCUCUCCCAGGUGCAGCUGGUCCAGUCCGGCCCGGAAGCGGUGAAACCCGGAGAGACCCUCAGUAUCACCUGCAAGGUCUCAGGUCUCUCAGUCAGCAGCUACUAUUGGAGCUGGGUCCGGCAGCCCCCUGGCAAAGCGCUGGAGUGGAUGGGACGCAUCCAGAGCACUGCAGACGGAGGCAGCACAGCUUACAACUCAGCUUUCAGUAGCCGGAUCACCAUCGCCAGGGACACCUUGAAGGACGAAGUUUAUCUCCAGCUCCGUUCGCUGACAGCUGCAGACACCGCCACCUAUUACUGCACCCGGCAGACACAGUGA